GCCGGAAUGGUGUAACGGUAGCACGUGGGCUUGUGGUGUUCACAUCGAACUUCAUACAAUCCGCCUUCAAUCGCGGUUCGAUUCCGCGUUCCGGCA